UGAUGACGAGACGCUAAGGCGUUGAAGCAGUGUAUGUCAGACUUCCAUGAAAAGCUCGCAAUGUCACAAAUAAAAAGUGCCUGUACCAUAACCGACACAGGUGGGUAGGUAGAGUAUACUAAGGGGCGCGAGAUAACUCUCUCUAAGGAACUCGGCAAAAUGACUCCGUAACUUCGGGAGAAGGAGUGCCUUAUUUAUAAGGUUGCAAUAACAAGAUCCAAGCAACUGUUUAUCAAAAACACAGGUCUCCGCUAAGUCGUAAGACGAUGUAUGGGGGCUGACGCCUGCCCAGUGCCAGAAGGUUAAAGAAGUUGGUUAGUGUAUGCGAAGCUGAUGACUGAAGCCCUGGUGAACGGCGGCCGUAACUAUAACGGUCCUAAGGUAGCGAAAUUCCUUGUCGGGUAAGUUCCGACCCGCACGAAAGGCGUAAUGAUUUGGAUACUGUCUCGGAGAGAGGCUCGGUGAAAUAGACUUGUCUGUGAAGAUGCGGACUACCUGCACCAGGACAGAAAGACCCUAUGAAGCUUUACUGUAACUUGAAAUUGGAAUUGGACUUUGCUUGCGCAGUAUAGGUGGGAAGCGUUGAAAAUAUUCUUGCGGGAGUAUUGGAGCUAUCAGUGAGAUACCACUCUUGUAAUGUUAGAUUUCUAACUUUGAACCAUAAUCUGGUCAAAGAACAGUUUCAGGUGGGCAGUUUGACUGGGGCGGUCGCCUCCCAAAUGGUAACGGAGGCGUACAAGGGUUUCCUCUGAACGGAUAGAAAUCGUAUCUAGAGUGUAAAGGCAUAAGGAAGCUUGACUGUGAGACCUACAAGUCGAGCAGGGACGAAAGUCGGUCUUAGUGAUCUGACGGUACUGAGUGGAAAGGCCGUCACUCAACGGAUAAAAGUUACUCUAAGGAUAACAGGCUGAUCUCCCCCAAGAGUUCACAUCGACGGGGAGGUUUGGCACCUCGAUGUCGGCUCAUCGCAUCCUGGGGCGGUAGUACGUCCCAAGGGUUGGGCUGUUCGCCCAUGAAAGCGGUACGCGAGCUGGGUUCAGAACGUCGUGAGACAGUUCGGUCCAUAUCCGGUGUAGGCGCUAGAAUAUUGAGAGGAGCCUUCUUUAGUACGAGAGGACCGAGAAGGACACACCGCUGGUGUACCAGUUAUCGUGCCAACGGUAAACGCUGGGUAGCUAUGUGUGGAGUGGAUAACCGCUGAAAGCAUCUAAGUGGGAAGCCCACCUCGAGAUGAGUAUUCUCA
rnacentral:rRNA from 1 species